UUCGAUUUUUUGGGUGAGCGUUCCAUGAAUAAAGUUGUAAACUCAAGAGUCGAUGCAAUUUUAACUAAGAGGCAGUAUCUGGAAAGGGCAAUUGUCGGACAAGAUAUGGACCCUCUAUUAUGGAUGAAGGUGAAUCAAACUGAUUUCCCUGCCAUUGGGAGCCUUUUCGCCAAAUAUCUUUGCAUUCCGGCUACGUCCGUGGAGUCUGAAAGAACAUUCAGCAAGGCGGGCCAAAUAAUAUCGGAGAGGCGAACCCGGCUCAAAGAAAAAAAUGUUAACAUUCUUUUGUUUUUAAAUCGCAACUCUUGGCUGAAAUAAAGCAUAUUUUAUUGUA